ACGCGCACAAACGCAUUCAUAAAGCCGAAAUGCGUUUGGCGUACGUCGGAUCCGCUUCCGUGCCUGCUGGGGGAGCGGAUGCCAACACGCUAAGAAAUAUGACACUUUUAUCCUCCGUGUGUCGGCAUGUGUUGAUGCGAUGCCCUCCAAAGCAGCGCGUUGAUUCUCCUGCUGUGGAUUCUACAACAUUAGCUCAUCGCUGGGAUGCUUGGUGCCAGAGACAAAACCAUAAAAGACAGAUUGUGUUCUAUUCUGUAGCUUUAUUGCAGUGUCGUGAGGCCACUAUGAACAUCUAUUACUCAUCACAGCACGGCUAUACAUCUAAUAUAUCUGCCAUUGAAUUGUUUUAGCAGCAAGAGAGAUAACACCUGGACACAGCUGGACGCACCCAUCUGUCUCUGACUACCGGUUGAGAACAGUAAACAGUAAAAUUGUCGGCUAUAAAUAAGGGGCAGAACCCUAACCCAUAGUUACGGGGAGUUGAGGGAGUUACUUGAGGGGAGCUGUGUACUUAAGUGUCAGUGUAAUUCUCUCUGUGUCUGUAGCAUUAUUUUGUAUUUAAUUAUUAUUGGCCGAAUACUAAAUAAUAUAUGUUUUUUUAAAGAAUAAAUUGAACAGAAUUAAAAACAACCUAACAACAAGCAUCACUUUGAUCUCAUGAAACGCCGUAAACCUCGCCGGCCGCUUCACAACCUCAAGCUGCAGAGCUCUUGUUAGUCCUGCGCUGGCUGGAAGCCACAGUGCGCCUGCUUUCCUGUUUUGAUUGCAGUAGCUGAUUGCAGUGUCCUCUACGCUGUCACUGAUUAGAUGGCUGGAAUGAAAGGCAGCAGGGCUUUGAAUUUAGCGUGUUAUUAAAUUCUAAUGCCUCACUGCUUGCAUCCUUUAUAAUAAAACGGAAAUGUCAGUGUGUUUGUUAAAGGGACCCUUUUGUUUCUAUUCUUGUCAUUUCUGGUUCAUUCUGCUACAGUAAAUGCUGUAUGUUUAGAUUAUAUUUUAGCCAGCUGACUGGCCUUUUUAAUAAAAUGCAAACACGGUCUCUAGUCAGAGGCAUUUCCAUUAUAAUUAUCAUAAUUAUCCAUCUUAAAUGUUUCUGUGGCACACAUGGCAGACUUACAAAGGAGUGCAAAUUGGUUCGUUUUUUCUUCCAAACACUUAUUAAUCCCAACUCCAUGUAUUUGGCAGACACUUUCGUACUUAGUGGGAGUAAUCGGAGCCCUUCACAGUUCCUUCAUUCACAAUAACUUCAAUGGAACAAUUCUAACAGCAAUGGCUGUCAAUAGUUCCAGGUGUUUCUCAGCGUGUGCGCGCAGCGAGAUAUAGUUGCAGCUCAAUUCACCGCUCGUGAUGGACUUUUAAGCACAAAAAUCUAAUUAUUCAACGGAGACGAUCAACUCAUCCUGCAUCAUAAGUCAACUCUUUAGGACAUUUUCCUUUUUCCCAAUUAUUAUUAUUAUUAUUAUUUUUUUCAAUACGAUCAACCUGCCACAAUUUUCUCUUGGAGAACAUGGAUUUUUAGCAACCAGCGUCGGGAGCCUUGUUUUGACAUUUUCCUAACUGCGUGGGCAUAAGUGGGUUGCUGGUCCUAUUCCAGCUGACGUGAUCGGUCUUGCUCUCUGUUGAAUUGUUUUCUUUCACCUUUCCAGGGACUGCAGAUGCAAAUAAGCUCGUAGCUAAAAUUUGAUACAAAACCUCUUUAUUGUUGUUGAGAACAAUGCAUUUAUGUGCAUGGUCUGAUGUAAAUAAAUUGAUAAACUAAACCAUCAUUAAUAUACA